rnacentral:lncRNA from 1 species
CAGACAGAAGGGGAGGGGAGGAGACACUGGAGACAGAGAGAAAGGGAGGGGAGGAGACACUGGAGGCAGACAGAAGGGGAGGGGAGGAGACACUGGAGGCAGAGAAAAGGGGAGGUGAGGAAUCAUUGGAGACAGAGAAGACCCAAGGGACGGAGGGAGAUCUGAAUCUAGAACAAGGAUCCAGGGAAGGAAGUGAAUCCCAGGCAGAGGAGAUGAAUGAGGCAGGACCUCCCCUUGAGGCUAACACGGAGACAAGGCCAGAGAAGGAAGGACCCCAGCCC